rnacentral:rRNA from 1 species
GUAGGUGGCAAGCGUUGUCCGGAAUUAUUGGCGUAAAGCGCGCGCAGGCGGUCCUUUAAGUCUGAUGUGAAAGCCCACGGCUCAACCGUGGAGGGUCAUUGGAAACUGGGGGACUUGAGUACAGAAGAGGAAAGCGGAAUUCCAAGUGUAGCGGUGAAAUGCGUAGAGAUUUGGAGGAACAUCAGUGGCGAAGGCGGCUUUCUGGUCUGUAACUGACGCUGAGGCGCGAAAGCGUGGGGAGCAAACAGGGAUUAGAUACCCUGGUAGUCCACGCCGUAAACGAUGAGUGCUAAGUGUUAGGGGGUUUCCGCCCCCUUAGUGCUGCAGCUAACGCAUUAAGCACUCCGCCUGGGGAGUACGGCCGCAAGGCUG